rnacentral:rRNA from 1 species
AAUACAUGCAAGUCGAACGAGGACAGGGUGCUUGCACCCUGAGCCGAGUGGCGCACGGGUGAGUAACACGUAGGUAAUCUGCCCCGAGGACCGGGAUAACAGUGGGAAACCGCUGCUAAUACCGGAUAAUAUCGUUUGGUUUAGUUAUCAUACGAUCAAAUGGAUUCCGCCUUGGGAUGAGCCUGCGGCCCAUUAGCUAGUUGGUGGGGUAAAUGCCUACCAAGGCGACGAUGGGUAGCCGGCCUGAGAGGGUGAUCGGCCACACUGGAACUGAGACACGGUCCAGACUCCUACGGGAGGCAGCAGUAGGGAAUAUUGGACAAUGGGCGCAAGCCUGAUCCAGCCACGCCGCGUGAGCGAUGAAGCCCUUCGGGGUGUAAAGCUCUGUAAGGUGGGAAGAAAGCUUCGGCUUGACGGUACCACCAAAGUAAGCCCCGGCUAACUCCGUGCCAGCAGCCGCGGUAAUACGGGGGGGGCAAGCGUUAUUCGGAAUUACUGGGCGUAAAGAGCGCGUAGGCGGCUCGGCAAGUCGGUUCGUUAAAUCCCCCGGCUCAACCGGGGACGUGCGGGCGAUACUGCCGAACUUGAGUACGAGAGAGGAGAGUGGAAUUCCUAGUGUAGCGGUGAAAUGCGUAGAUAUUAGGAGGAACACCAGUGGCGAAGGCGACUCUCUGGCUCGUUACUGACGCUGAGGCGCGAAAGCUAGGGGAGCGAACGGGAUUAGAUACCCCGGUAGUCCUAGCUGUAAACGAUGGGCACUAGGUGUGGUGGGCAUCGACCCCUGCCGUGCCGUAGCUAACGCAUUAAGUGCCCCGCCUGGGGAGUACGUUCGCAAGAAUGAAACUCAAAGGAAUUGACGGGGGCCCGCACAAGCGGUGGAGCAUGUGGUUUAAUUCGAUGCAACGCGAAGAACCUUACCGGGGUUUGACAUCCUGUAGACUGCUCCUAGAAAUAGGAGCAUCUUCUUCGGAAGCUGCAGAGCAGGUGCUGCAUGGCUGUCGUCAGCUCGUGUCGUGAGAUGUUGGGUUAAGUCCCGCAACGAGCGCAACCCUCGCCCUUAGUUGCCAACGGAUAAUGCCGGGAACUCUAAGGGGACUGCCGUUGACAAAACGGAGGAAGGUGGGGAUGAGGUCAAGUCCGCAUGGCCCUUACGCCCCGGGCUACACACGUGCUACAAUGGUCGGUACAAAGGGUUGCCAAGCCGCGAGGUGGAGCCAAUCCCAAAAAGCCGAUCUCAGUUCGGAUUGGAGUCUGCAACUCGACUCCAUGAAGGUGGAAUCGCUAGUAAUCGUGGAUCAGCAUGCCACGGUGAAUACGUUCCCGGGCCUUGUACACACCGCCCGUCUCACCACGAAAGUCGGUUGUACUAGAAGUCGCUGGGCUAACCCCAAAAAG